rnacentral:rRNA from 1 species
CAGUCGCCGCGGGAAUACGAAGGGUGCAAGCGUUAAUCGGAAUUACUGGGCGUAAAGCGUGCGUAGGCGGUUUGUUAAGUCUGUUGUGAAAUCCCCGGGCUCAACCUGGGAAUGGCAAUGGAUACUGGCAAGCUAGAGUGUGUCAGAGGAUGGUGGAAUUCCCGGUGUAGCGGUGAAAUGCGUAGAGAUCGGGAGGAACAUCAGUGGCGAAAGCGGCCAUCUGGGACAACACUGACGCUGAGGCACGAAAGCGUGGGGAGCAAACAGGAUUAGAUACCCCUGUAGUCCCUGUCUCUUAUAC